CCGACGCGGCCCAGUGAGCCGAGCCGGCGGCGAACAGCGGGGCGUUUGGAGUUGGAACGCGGCGUGACAAUAACAGGCGCACGCGGAAAACCUGGUGGGAAAAGCGAGUGGAUGCCUCCGACCACCUGAGUUACCGUUCAGGGGGCGUUGAAUGAGAAGCACCUCAGCGUUCCGAAGGGGGGGCGCUACAUGUAACAAAAGCGGUGCUCUUUCUUCGUUUCGAGGCUGCUAAUCGCUCUGUCAAUCUAGCACCGAAUUGACCAAUCAAGCGAAAGAUUUGGGAUUAAAUUAACGCGGGCAGAAAAGAAGUGCAACGUGAUUGGUUAUUUACCGGGAGGGAGGGAGAAAGAAGGGGGUCUGUUCCACCUACUCGAGUUGAGCUUUUGGCUGACCUCACGUUCUGCUGGCACAGCAGCUCCCAAACUGCAAAUGGAGAUGCCGGUUCCUCCUCCACCAGCACCCCUUAUGUCAGCUUCCCAUGAGUUGGAUUGCUCUGCCCGUUGCAAAUUGUGGUGUGGCUCACAAGAACUGUUAUAUGCAAAACACAUUUCAGGCAGCCCUCCAACAAGUGCACAAGCAAGGAUGUUUUCCACUCCCGGUGCAAUUCAGAAGAGACUGAGAGCCAGACUAGCAACAGCCAUGCCCAGUGUGACUCCAGCUUGUCCUUUCUGGCAAUCCCACUUUGAUGCUGUAGCCAGGCUCUUAUGCCACUGCAAAUGGUUUGAGAAAAAGAUAGCAGGUGGUGAUGUCACCAAACAUGGGAAUGCCAGGAUGGGGAAUGCAGCGGUGUUCCUUUGCUGUCAUGCAGUUUUCACAGGCACAAGAGCCAUGAUGGAACAAGGAGUUUGACAACCCUAUUAAUAGGAAUUGCUUUCAGAACUCCAUCAUUGAGGCUAGCCAACAAAAGUUGCCUGUUUUACAAUUCUGUCACUUCAGCUACCUUCAGUAUGGCUCUUAUUGAGAAAGAUCCGACGGCACCACACCAAAGUUCUCACUCCCCAUAUUCUGUACACAUCAGCUCCUGCAAGACUCCGAAUAGCUCUCCAACAUCGUGGUUACUGCCGGUGUGAUAAGCUGGGCUCCCAGAAGAAGUAGUAAUGGCCACCAACUUGGAUAACUUGAAGAAAGUGUUAGACAAAUUCACGGAAGAUAAGGCUAUCAGUGGCUACUAGUCACAAUGGCUAUGUUCUGCUUCCACUGUCAGAGGCACCAUGCCUCUGAAUGCCAGUUGCCGGGAGUCACAAGUGCAGGGAGUGCUGUUGUGCACAGGUCCUUCUUGUGGGCUUCCCAUUGGCAUCUGGUUGGUCACUGUGCGCACAGGAUUCUGGACUGAAUGGGACAUGGGCAUGAUCCAGCAGAAUCCUCUUAUGUUUAUGUUAUGAUCAUUCUGUGUAUGGCACUGGGGGAAGGAAGAAGCAUAUCAUGGAUCAGACCACUGGGAGACUUACACAGCCCCCAUCAUGAGCUUUUCUAUCUGUUUUCAUGGCCAUGCAACCAAGAGUAUUGCUCUGUGGAACAAGAAGAUUGGGCUUUAUUCCUGUAUCUCCUCUUUCUGAAAUUGUUACUGGCCAGGGUCCCUAUGCAGGGCUUGCCUUUCUGUCUCACUGGGGAGGGAUUCAUCUCUCCCCAGCAUUUUACUUUUUGGUAUUCUUCCCCACAGAGCUGUGAGGUAUCUCACAGUCUUGCUCCCUGUGAGCUUGCAUGCCUCCUUCCCUAGGGAACUGUAGAGCUGGCUUACUUAUGAUUGGAAAGGCAUUCCUUAAGACCCUGUGUGACCCAGACCUUGGCCCAGGGGGAAAAAAAGGUUUUCUGAUGCUGUCAGGGAAUCCAAGCCCCUGCCUGAGAGGGAAGCUUGGAGCUGUAGGUAUGGAUGAUUCUGGUCUAAACUGGUGAGUCAUAGAAUUAGAUGUACUGCAGGAUGCACUCUGAACUCUCUCUGGCAGCAUACUGGUGGAAUGGGUUCCUGCUGUGCCUUCCAUAUGUGGGCUAUGUAAUAGACUGUUUUUCUCUUCUCCCCCCCCCCUUCCAAAAGAAGCCAUUCCGUUGAGAAGCAAUCUAUAUUAAUAGAACCAUGUAUAUUCUCCCUUAUUUGUUUUAUGGCUUUGUUUGCUGGGAGGAAUUUAGAUAGUAAAAUAUUUGGAAAGCAAAAGUUGUAAGGUUAUGCCUUUCCCCCCACUUAUUUUAUUUCAUAACAAAUCUAGUUAUUUUCAUCAGCCCUUCAGAGAUGAAGGUUCUUGUCUCUUUCACCCUGUAAGUAAAGCACUCUUUGGCUGCUCCUCCCCCUUUUAAAGUACACAUUAGCCCAGGGAAUCUUUGGGCUGAGCCAUACCUCCACAUAACAUCUACAUUUUGCCUAUU